rnacentral:rRNA from 1 species
UCGGUUGAUCCUGCCGGAGGCUACUGCUAUCGGGGUUCGAUUAAGCCAUGCGAGUUAAAUGUUCUUCGUGAACAUAGCGAACUGCUCAGUAACACGUGGAUAACCUACCCUUAGGACCGGAAUAACCCCGGGAAACUGGGGAUAAUACCGGAUAAGCCAUAGACGCUGGAAUGCCCUAUGGUUCAAAGCUCCGGCGCCUAAGGAUGGAUCUGCGGUCUAUCAGGUUGUAGUGGGUGUAACGUACCUACUAGCCGACGACGGAUACGGGUUGUGAGAGCAAGAGCCCGGAGAUGGAUUCUGAGACACGAAUCCAGGCCCUACGGGGUGCAGCAGGCGCGAACACUUUGCAAUGCGGGAAACCGCGAUAAGGGAACCCCGAGUGCCAGCAUCAAAUGUUGGCUGUCCAGAUGAUUAAAAAUCAUUUGUUAGCAAGGGCCGGGCAAGACCGGUGCCAGCCGCCGCGGUAACACCGGCGGCCCGAGUGGUAGCCGUUUUUAUUGGGUCUAAAGGGUCCGUAGCCGGCCUGAUAAGUCCUUUGGGAAAUCUGGCAGCUUAACUGUCAGGCUUCUAAGGGAUACUGUCAGGCUUGGGACCGGAAGAGGUAAGGGGUACUCCAGGGGUAGGAGUGAAAUCUUGUAAUCCCUGGGGGACCAUCUGUGGCGAAGGCGCCUUACCAGAACGGGUCCGACGGUGAGGGANGAAAGCUAGGGGAGCAAACCGGNNUAGAUACCCGGGUAGUCCUAGCUGUAAACGAUGCUCGCUAGGUGUCAGACACGGUGCGACCGUGUUUGGUGCCGCAGGGNANCCGCUAAGCGAGCCACCUGGGAAGUACGGUCGCAAGGCUGAAACUUAAAGGAAUUGGNNGG